rnacentral:rRNA from 1 species
GUCCUACGUAGCAAGGUUAAGCCGAGAGGUGUAGCCGCAGCGAAAGCGAGUCUGAUAAGGGCGCUUAGUUGCGUGGGGCAGACCCGAAACCGUGUGAUCUACCCAUGGUCAGGUUGAAGCGCGAGUAACAUCGCGUGGAGGACCGAACUCACUAAGGUUGAAAACUUAGGGGAUGAACUGUGGGUAGGGGUGAAAAGGCCAAUCAAACUCGGAAAUAGCUGGUUCUCCCCGAAAUAUAUUUAGGUAUAGCCUCGGGCGUUCUCUGUUGGAGGUAGAGCACUGAAUGGGCUAGGGGCCUCACCAGGUUACCGACCCCAAUCAAACUCCGAAUGCCAUCAAGAGUAGCCCGGGAGUCAGACUGCGAGUGAUAACAUUCGUAGUCAAAAGGGAAACAACCCAGACCGCCGGCUAAGGUCCCAAAUUUCAUGCUAAGUGGGAAAGGAUGUGGGAGCGCACUGACAACCAGGAGGUUGGCUUAGAAGCAGCCACCCUUUAAAGAAAGCGUAAUAGCUCACUGGUCUAGUGAACCUGCGCCGAAAAUGUAACGGGG